rnacentral:rRNA from 1 species
UACGUAGGGUGCGAGGCGUUAAUCGGAAUUACUGGGCGUAAAGCGUGCGCAGGCGGUGAUGUAAGACCGAUGUGAAAUCCCCGGGCUUAACCUGGGAACUGCAUUGGUGACUGCAUUGCUGGAGUAUGGCAGAGGGGGGUGGAAUUCCACGUGUAGCAGUGAAAUGCGUAGAGAUGUGGAGGAACACCGAUGGCGAAGGCAGCCCCCUGGGCCAAUACUGACGCUCAUGCACGAAAGCGUGGGGAGCAAACAGG